GGGUUGUGAGGUUAAGCGACUAAGCGUACACGGUGGAUGCCCUGGCAGUCAGAGGCGAUGAAGGGCGUGCUAAUCUGCGAUAAGCGCCGGUAAGGUGAUAUGAACCGUUAUAACCGGCGAUACCCGAAUGGGGAAACCCAGUGUGAUUCGUCACACUAUCAUUAACUGAAUCCAUAGGUUAAUGAGGCGAACCGGGGGAACUGAAACAUCUAAGUACCCCGAGGAAAAGAAAUCAACCGAGAUUCCCCCAGUAGCGGCGAGCGAACGGGGAGGAGCCCAGAGCCUGAAUCAGCAUGUGUGUUAGUGGAAGCGUCUGGAAAGGCGCGCGAUACAGGGUGACAGCCCCGUACACAAAAGCGCAUGUGCUGUGAGCUCGAUGAGUAGGGCGGGACACGUGGUAUCCUGUCUGAAUAUGGGGGGACCAUCCUCCAAGGCUAAAUACUCCUGACUGACCGAUAGUGAACCAGUACCGUGAGGGAAAGGCGAAAAGAACCCCGGCGAGGGGAGUGAAAAAGAACCUGAAACCGUGUACGUACAAGCAGUGGGAGCACAGGUUUACCUGUGUGACUGCGUACCUUUUGUAUAAUGGGUCAGCGACUUAUAUUCUGUAGCAAGGUUAACCGUAUAGGGGAGCCGUAGGGAAACCGAGUCUUAACCGGGCGUUAAGUUGCAGGGUAUAGACCCGAAACCCGGUGAUCUAGCCAUGGGCAGGUUGAAGGUUGGGUAACACUAACUGGAGGACCGAACCGACUAAUGUUGAAAAAUUAGCGGAUGACCUGUGGCUGGGGGUGAAAGGCCAAUCAAACCGGGAGAUAGCUGGUUCUCCCCGAAAGCUAUUUAGGUAGCGCCUCGUGAAUUCAUCUCCGGGGGUAGAGCACUGUUUCGGCUAGGGGGCCAUCCCGGCUUACCAACCCGAUGCAAACUGCGAAUACCGGAGAAUGUUAUCACGGGAGACACACGGCGGGUGCUAACGUCCGUCGUGAAGAGGGAAACAACCCAGACCGCCAGCUAAGGUCCCAAAGUCAUGGUUAAGUGGGAAACGAUGUGGGAAGGCCCAGACAGCCGUGUUGGCUUAGAAGCAGCCAUCAUUUAAAGAAAGCGUAAUAGCUCACUGGUCGAGUCGGCCUGCGCGGAAGAUGUAACGGGGCUAAACCAUGCACCGAAGCUGCGGCAGCGACACUGUGUGUUGUUGGGUAGGGGAGCGUUCUGUAAGCCUGUGAAGGUGGCCUGUGAGGGUUGCUGGAGGUAUCAGAAGUGCGAAUGCUGACAUAAGUAACGAUAAAGCGGGUGAAAAGCCCGCUCGCCGGAAGACCAAGGGUUCCUGUCCAACGUUAAUCGGGGCAGGGUGAGUCGACCCCUAAGGCGAGGCCGAAAGGCGUAGUCGAUGGGAAACGGGUUAAUAUUCCCGUACUUGGUGUUACUGCGAAGGGGGGACGGAGAAGGCUAUGUUGGCCGGGCGACGGUUGUCCCGGUUUAAGCGUGUAGGUGUGUGUUCCAGGUAAAUCCGGUUCACUUUAACACUGAGGCGUGACGACGAGGCACUACGGUGCUGAAGCAACAAAUGCCCUGCUUCCAGGAAAAGCCUCUAAGCAUCAGGUAACAUCAAAUCGUACCCCAAACCGACACAGGUGGUCAGGUAGAGAAUACCAAGGCGCUUGAGAGAACUCGGGUGAAGGAACUAGGCAAAAUGGUGCCGUAACUUCGGGAGAAGGCACGCUGACACGUAGGUGAAGUGAUUUACUCAUGGAGCUGAAGUCAGUCGAAGAUACCAGCUGGCUGCAACUGUUUAUUAAAAACACAGCACUGUGCAAACACGAAAGUGGACGUAUACGGUGUGACGCCUGCCCGGUGCCGGAAGGUUAAUUGAUGGGGUCAGCGCAAGCGAAGCUCCUGAUCGAAGCCCCGGUAAACGGCGGCCGUAACUAUAACGGUCCUAAGGUAGCGAAAUUCCUUGUCGGGUAAGUUCCGACCUGCACGAAUGGCGUAAUGAUGGCCAGGCUGUCUCCACCCGAGACUCAGUGAAAUUGAACUCGCUGUGAAGAUGCAGUGUACCCGCGGCAAGACGGAAAGACCCCGUGAACCUUUACUAUAGCUUGACACUGAACAUUGAGCCUUGAUGUGUAGGAUAGGUGGGAGGCUUUGAAGCGUGGACGCCAGUCUGCGUGGAGCCAACCUUGAAAUACCACCCUUUAAUGUUUGAUGUUCUAACGUGGACCCGUAAUCCGGGUUGCGGACAGUGUCUGGUGGGUAGUUUGACUGGGGCGGUCUCCUCCUAAAGAGUAACGGAGGAGCACGAAGGUUGGCUAAUCCUGGUCGGACAUCAGGAGGUUAGUGCAAUGGCAUAAGCCAGCUUGACUGCGAGCGUGACGGCGCGAGCAGGUGCGAAAGCAGGUCAUAGUGAUCCGGUGGUUCUGAAUGGAAGGGCCAUCGCUCAACGGAUAAAAGGUACUCCGGGGAUAACAGGCUGAUACCGCCCAAGAGUUCAUAUCGACGGCGGUGUUUGGCACCUCGAUGUCGGCUCAUCACAUCCUGGGGCUGAAGUAGGUCCCAAGGGUAUGGCUGUUCGCCAUUUAAAGUGGUACGCGAGCUGGGUUUAGAACGUCGUGAGACAGUUCGGUCCCUAUCUGCCGUGGGCGCUGGAGAACUGAGGGGGGCUGCUCCUAGUACGAGAGGACCGGAGUGGACGCAUCACUGGUGUUCGGGUUGUCAUGCCAAUGGCACUGCCCGGUAGCUAAAUGCGGAAGAGAUAAGUGCUGAAAGCAUCUAAGCACGAAACUUGCCCCGAGAUGAGUUCUCCCUGAGACUUAGAGUCUCCUGAAGGAACGUUGAAGACGACGACGUUGAUAGGCCGGGUGUGUAAGCGCAGCGAUGCGUUGAGCUAACCGGUACUAAUGAACCGUGAGGCUUAACCUUACAACGCCGAAG
rnacentral:rRNA from 1 species